AUGUCUUCAUCCUUCGGUGCCACCCCUAGCCUUAAUGGCCAGGUCACCGAAAAGCUUAAUCGCACGAACUACGUGCUAUGGCGCAUGCAGGUCACACCUCACCUGCGGGGCGCCGGUGUCUUCGGCUACGUCGACGGCACUGCGCCGGAGCCGGCCAGACUCCACGUCACGAAAGAUAAGGACGGUAAGGAGACUUCUGAGCCCAACCUUCUCCACCCACUCUGGGUCCGGAAGGAUCAACAGGUGCUUGGCUAUUUGCUGAGCACCCUCUCCAAGGAGGUACUGGUCGUGGUCACCGCGAUCACCACGGCGCGCGAAAUCUGGGUGGCGCUGGCGGGCAUGUUCUCGUCCCAGUCACUCAGCCGCGUCAACAACAUGAGGACUGCGCUCAUCAACGCGCAGAAGGGCAACCAGUCGGUAGCCUCCUACUUCGCCUCCCUCUGCGGCCUUGCUGAUGAACUUGCUGCCGCGGGCAAGCCUAUCCAGGAUGACGAACUCAUCUCGUACAUUCUCCACGCCCUCGAC
rnacentral:rRNA from 1 species